rnacentral:rRNA from 1 species
GUUUGAUCCUGGCUCAGAACGAACGUUGGCGGCGUGGAUGAGGCAUGCAAGUCGAACGUGAAAACCCUCGGGUGAGUAGCGUGGCGAACGGGUGAGUAACACGUAAUCAAGCUACCUGCCAGACGGGGAUAACUUCGGGAAACCGAUCGUAAAACCCGAUGGUCUUGGAGCACCGCAUGGUGCACCAAGUAAAUGGACGGGACCCUCCGGGGCCGUCUGCUGGCGGAGGUGAUUGCGGCCCAUCAGCUUGUUGGUAGGGUAAUGGCCUACCAAGGCUACGACGGGUAGCCGGCCUAAGAGGGUGGCCGGUCACACUGGGACUGAGACACUGCCCAGACUCCUACGGGAGGCUGCAGUCGAGAAUCUUCCGCAAUGGACGAAAGUCUGACGGAGCGACGCCGCGUGGAGGACGAAGGCCUUCGGGUUGUAAACUCCUGUCACGAGUUAAGAAGUGUACAUGACGAAUAGUUGUGUGCAUUGACAAAGGCUCGAGAGGAAGCACUGGCUAACUCUGUGCCAGCAGCCGCGGUAAUACAGAGAGUGCGAACGUUGUUCGGAAUUACUGGGCUUAAAGAGUACGUAGGCGGCAUAACAAGUGUCAGGUGAAAUCCCACGGCUCACCCGUGGAACUGCCUGGCAAACUGUUAAGCUCGAGUGUGGUAGGGGAGAACAGAACUCAUGGUGGAGCGGUGAAAUGCGUAGAUAUCAUGAGGAAUACCGGUGGCGAAGGCGGUUCUCUGGUCCACAACUGACGCUGAGGUACGAAAGCUAGGGUAGCGAACGGGAUUAGAUACCCCGGUAGUCCUAGCCGUAAACGAUGGGCACUAGCUUGGGGCCUCCCUGUGUGGUUCCAGGUGAAGCAAAAGUAAUAAGUGCCCCGCCUGGGGAGUAUGGUCGCAAGGCUGAAACUCAAAGGAAUUGACGG